GGCCACAGGAGUCUACUGCCUGUUGUCCUUGAAAAGAAAAGAUGAAAAUCGCAAUUUUAGUUUCUUCUUGUUCUUUUGUCUAGGCUGAAUGUAUGUAGUCAUUGAUCAUCAAAUGAAGUAGUUCUGUAUCAUUCGGCCAUUUCCUAGCAUGCUCGCGUGUUUCUUUCUAAAAUCAAGACACCAAGGGAGGGCCUCGCUUGUGAAAGAAGGGUGAAAUGUGAUCCAUUUUUCCUGCAAGAGCUUUUAAAUUUCUUAAAUUAGAGGUAGAAAACCAAAACAUGAAUACUUGAUUUGGUCUGUUGUGCUGUAAGGGGAAAACCCCACCAAGAGUUCCUUUUUCCUGAAACUGAAAUGGCAUAGGCGGCUGGCUCAAUUGAAAAACAAGUGCNAGCGCGGAAGUUGACACUGUGACAGGACAUGUCUAAAGUUUAACCUGUCAGGAAUUGCUGCUAGGAACAACAACGAAGGGCGGGCAGGCCAUGGUUCGGCAUGGGUACGGAACCAACAUGUACCGGAC
rnacentral:misc_RNA from 1 species